rnacentral:rRNA from 1 species
UACAGAGGGUGCUAGCGUUGUUCGGAAUCAUUGGGCGUAAAGGGCGCGUAGGCGGUUCGCUAAGUUGAAUGUGAAAACUCUGGGCUUAACCCAGAGCCUGCAUUCAAUACUGGCGGGCUAGAGUUCUGGAGGGGAUAGCGGAAUUCCUGGUGUAGCGGUGAAAUGCGUAGAUAUCAGGAGGAACACCGGUGGCGAAGGCGGCUAUCUGGACAGAGUCUGACGCUGAGGCGCGAAAGCUAGGGGAGCAAACAGG